UACGUAGGGACCAAGCGUUGUUCGGAUUUACUGGGCGUAAAGGGCGCGUAGGCGGCAAUUCAAGUCAGUUGUGAAAUCUCCGAGCUUAACUCGGAACGGUCAACUGAUACUGUUUUGCUAGAGUGCAGAAAGGGCAACCGGAAUUCUUGGUGUAGCGGUGAAAUGCGUAGAUAUCAAGAGGAACACCUGAGGCGAAGGCGGCUCACUGGUCCGGUACUGACGCUGAGGUGCGAAAGCGUGGGGAGCAAACAGG
rnacentral:rRNA from 1 species